CCGAGGCAGAACGUGCUCACUUAACCACUGCACCAGCGGGCCGGCCCCUCAGCCUGGUCUUUAUGUCACGCCCUGGAGACCCCAGGACAAGACCCAUGCGCUGUGGGGGAGGGGCAAGCGUGGAAAUGGCAGUAAGAGAGAAAUCCUGCUGUCCAUACUCCGCUGGUGUUCACAUCAUCGUGUUAUUGUGAAGGCUUUCCCUCGGCUUAUAUCAUAUUCAUGAAUAUUUCAGGAUCUUAGUCUAAGAAAUCUUCCUCUUCUGAGCUCCCAUAGCGUGUUGAAAUUUGAAACUUUCACCUUGCAAGUGAAUAAGCACUUUACAGAAACUAUCUCAUCUAAUUCACAGAAUAACCCUAUGAGCUUGGUCCUCUCCACUUUACAGAUAAGGGCACUGAGGCACAGAAAGCUGAAGCAACUAGCUUAAAGUCACCGAGCUUGUGAGUGGCAGAGCUGGGACUCAAGCCAGGGAAGCAUGAGACGAGUCAACGCCCUCAGCCCCUGUGCUGUGCUGCCUCUCAGGUCACUUCUCAGAAGACGUUGGCUUCUUGGUCACCCCAGCCAGACCAGAGCUUCCCCUAGAACAAGACUCAUGCCUGAGGUAUCUCCCUGUACCGGCGCCUGACCCAGUGCUUGGCUUUAAGAGUGCCCAUUGUCUAUGAGCUGAAUGACUGAAUAUGCAAGAACGUGAGCUGACUUCGGGCACCGUGGCAGAUUCAUGGAGCAGGUUGGAGUUGAGAUGAAUGUGAUUUCAACAGGUGGUUAUGACAAAGAAGAGAAAGAAUUCUGGAUGGAGGAAACCGCAUGAGCAAAGAUGCUGGUGUGGGUGUGUGAUGCCUGGAGCAGCCAUCUUGCAACAAGGUACAAGUGCAAGGACAAGAAGACAACUUGCUGAGGCUGUCCUCUUCCCCAAAUGGUAUUAAAUUUCCAAGAAGACUCAACUCUCUUAACCAGAGGACUCCUUACAUUGGCAACUAUCAUCUCCCUGGAGGACGCCAUGGCCCGGACCCGGUAAAGAAAGGAAAGAGACCCACCAUUUCUAGAGCACCACUAAAUGCCAGGCAUCGUCCACAUGGUAUCUCAGUUAACCCUCACAGUGAACCUGAGCAGUAGCAUGCAUAGCCCCAUUUUGCAGAUGAGGAAACCAAGUCCCAGAGAGGUAAUGUGACUUGCACUGGGUCACUCAGGUAUCUGGUAUGAAGAGGAGCUGGGAUUGAAACCUAUGGCCAUUUGGACCCCACAGUCCAUGCUUGUCAAUUUUCAUAGCCCUGAGCUGCGCUGUCUAAUACAGUAGCCACUAGCCACGUGUGGCCAUUUAAACUUAAAUUAAUUCAAGUUGAAUAAAUAAAAUUUAGUUCCUCAGUAACACUAGCUACAUACAAGUGCUCAAUAGCCACAUGUGGCUGGUGGUUACUGUCUUAGACAUCACAGAUAUAGAACAUUUCUACCAUCGUGGAAAGAUCUGUUGGAUAGCACAGUUCUGGAAUGUCGGAGAAGAAAGGAAAUUUGGUGAUUUUACCCUUGCAUGGGGAGCCAGGCCAUCUACCAUUGGUCAGCCCUGUGGGGAGUCCAUCAGAAGUUACUUUCCCUGGAUGAGAUCAUGAUUCAACCAUCCGUGGGUUUCAGGGCUGUGUCUUACCUUUCUCCUGGUUUGGGGGGAGACUGUAAGCUGGCUCCACUUAGUCCCACCCACAAUAGGUGCCAGCUGAUCCCUUCCUUCACUUCCCUUUUGCCCCUAAACCCCUAGGAAUCCAUUGCCACCCUCUGUCACAGGGGAUUCAGUAUGUCCCUGGCCAUUAAAAUGGGAUAUCCUCAUGCGAUAAGUCAGAUGGGGACUGAGCAAAAUUUCAUGACACAGUGGGCUUCAUUCUAGCUGGGUGGUCACUGGGUGACAUGCUUGAUGCUUGAGAGAGGUGUCCUUAUUGAGUGACAACAAGGGGGAAGACUGGAGGAGCUCCUUGGCAAAGGGGAUGUCUGGUUAUAAUGGGAGAUUUUUCUCCUGCCUUGCAACAGAAUACCUUUCCUAUGUUUGGGGAAUUCUCAAUUUUGUAAAUGAAGGCAGUCUUCCUCCCAAGAAAGAAGCCAAAAUGUCAGAUGUUUGCCUUCAGAGCUUCCACUGCAGGUAGGAGAUAGGCAUGUGUUCAAGGCUCAACCAAUCAGAGCUUGGGUUACAAAGAAACUGGGACUGUGGGGGAUCCUCAUGGGAGGAUGGGUGAGAGUUGUGUUGAGAUGGUGCCUGUGGCUGGCUGGCCAUAGUGAAAGCUGGGCAUCCAGUAUCCUCACCAGUAGUACAUGGUCCCACAUGAUCUGGCCUCCCUCAUUCCUGGCCACUUCUAGAAACUUCCUGGUGACUUUUUAAACUUCCCAUUACCCUUUUAAUAAAUUCCGUUUGUGCUACCAUCAGUCAGAGUCAGUUCUAUAACUUAUGAUGAACUGACACAAUGGUGCUACGACAGAUGGAAUAGAAUUAGACUAGAUUGUUCUAGACUGGAGUUUGCUCUGGUGGAAGCUGAGGGAGGGUCUCUGCUGUGAUCCACAUGAUCUCUCCACAUCAGGAUCCCUUGUUCCAGCCUCACUGGCCUCUUUGCCCUUGCUGUGUUCUCACCAUCUCUUCCCUCCCAGAGAAUCUCCGCAGUCAGGAUGUUGAAAGCCUGCUCUGACUUGUCAAGGCUUCUUCCAUUCCCUGAGUCUCCUCUCCAGGAUUUUGGGGCUCAGAAAGUCCUUUCCCUGUUUUUCUGCUGAAACAGCUCCUCCCUGAGCAGUAAAUACAUCACAGUCCAAGUUGGAUAGAAAAGGGGUUACAGAGUGAAAAGGAAAUGGAAACAUACUGGUAGUACAUCAAAAAAUUAUCCCACCAUACCAGGGUGACCAACCAUCCCAGUUUGUCCAGACUGAGGGAUUUCUUGGGACAUGGGAAUUUUGGUGCUAAAACAGGGAAAGUCCUGUGCAAACAAGGAUGAGUUGGUCACCCUACACUUUGGUAUGACUACUACUAAUUCUCUUUCUCUACACAGCUUUAUACAGCUUGCUAAGGACACAGUCAAGACCAGACCCUCAGCAACAGUGCCUUAUCAGAGCUUUCUUUCCUUUCUGAUAAGUGAAAAAAUCUCAAUGUUGUUUUUUCAUUUAUUUUAAUACAAGUGAGCAGAAGCAUCUUUUCAUAUGUUUAGAAGCCAUGUUUUCUAUUCCUUUCCUUGGAACUAUCUGCUCAUACCCUUUUACCUGCCUGUUUUGUUUUUGUUUUCUUAAACUAUAAAGCAAUAAAGAUAUCCAAUUAAACAUGA